rnacentral:rRNA from 1 species
AGCGAACGCUGGCGGUAGGCCUAACACAUGCAAGUCGAACGGCAGCACAGUAAGAGCUUGCUCUUACGGGUGGCGAGUGGCGGACGGGUGAGGAAUACAUCGGAAUCUACUUUUUCGUGGGGGAUAACGUAGGGAAACUUACGCUAAUACCGCAUACGACCUACGGGUUAAAGCAGGGGAUCUUCGGACCUUGCGCGAUUGAAUGAGCCGAUGUCGGAUUAGCUAGUUGGCGGGGUAAAGGCCCACCAAGGCGACGAUCCGUAGCUGGUCUGAGAGGAUGAUCAGCCACACUGGAACUGAGACACGGUCCAGACUCCUACGGGAGGCAGCAGUGGGGAAUAUUGGACAAUGGGCGCAAGCCUGAUCCAGCCAUACCGCGUGGGUGAAGAAGGCCUUCGGGUUGUAAAGCCCUUUUGUUGGGAAAGAAAAGCAGCAGGUUAAUACCCCGCUGUUCUGACGGUACCCAAAGAAUAAGCACCGGCUAACUUCGUG